CAGAGCGUUCCUCAGAGCCACUUUGCUGGAGAUGAGUCUGUGAGCCAGGUUGUCAUUUUCCUGCUCAAGGCGGAGACUGGUCUGCUGGAGACGAAGGUUUUCCCUCUGAAAAACAAUUUAUCUGUUAGACCAAGGGUCUUCAUCUUUGCCCUCACCGUCCAUUAUCUGGAGCCGACUCUCCUUCAGCUUGGCUUUCUUUGAUGGCACCUGAGAGAAAAAAAGUCUGGGUGUCAACAACAGUCGAGUGUUGGCAGAAAUGAAGACAGUUAUCUCCUUCAGACAGAUCCACCACCUGAAGAAGAGCCAGUCCAACCUCAGACCGAGAUGAGGAUGAAGGUGGGAUAAAAAAAAAGAGCUGGAACAUGGUCACAUUUGGUGUUUGGCCCACAUUCUGGCCCACACUCUGGGUAAAAAAAAAACCUUCUCUGCCAAACCUCAGGAUAUAUUAUAAAAUACUAUGGAAUAAACUUGACUUUUAUUUAACAAUGACAUCCAAGUCUAAGUGGCCCACGUCCAAUAAGAAUAAAACCAAAUGUAGGUCAUGACCCCUGGCCUCUUAGUGGACCACAGCUGACAUCCAGAAUUUGGAAGUUUCCCAUUAAAACACCCACCAUGUUGAAUUGUGUGGCCCAGAGUUUGGACACCACAUAUGGGCUACAUCUGUCACGUAACCAGGCUCCCACAAAUGCUUACCAAAUGAGGUCAAGUGUACUGUGAGUAACCAAUUUUUUAUGCAAAUGAAUUUCUGGCCCACAGGGAAAAUAAAAUAAAACAAUUAUUAGAAUUAAGUUAAAUUAAAUAACAUUUAAAAAAUAAAUAAACAAAAAAUUAAAUUAAUCUUUAAGUCAUUGCUUGUUUGUUAUUUGUUUAGGUCAGGGCCAGAAGAACAUAAAAAAGAAUUAGGUACGUGGUGUGGCCCACAGUUUGUCCAGCCCAUAUUUUUCUCUGUGCGUCAUUAGUCAGUAAUUACACAGAACAGAACACACUGUCUUUCUGGGUGAUUUACAAAACUCUGAUCAUAGAGCUGUUGUGUGUGUGUGUGUGUGUGUGUGUGUGUGUGUGGGGGGGGGGUCUGACUCGUGCUGAACUAAAUGUUUUGGGUCAAAUAUCGACUCAAAUCCCAGAGUGGGGGUUCUUACCGUGAAAGUUGGUCCUGUUUCAGAGACCAGACAGGCCAGGAUCUCCUCUUCGCUCAUCUGUUC